GUAUUGGUGAGGAGUCCCAAAAUAGGACGAAACGGCCGUUCAGUGC
rfam:Schistosoma mansoni, Puerto Rico, WGS project CABG01000000 data, contig: 0034